UCAACCUUCAAACCCCGUGUUUGGCGUUGGGCCUACGUCGUGCUCCCUGUGCGACCGGCUCCAAAGACAAUGACGGCGUCCGUGGGACCCUCGGUGCAACGAGCUUUUCUAAAGCACGCGUCGAAGCGGAUCCACGGGGGCCGGUCUCUGAUGUUUACAUCACUUCUCA
rnacentral:misc_RNA from 2 species